UCUUCGGCAAUGGGCGCAAGCCUGACCGAGCGACGCCGCGUGCGGGAUGAAGGCCUUCGGGUUGUAAACCGCUGUCGUAGAGGAGGAAAUGCAGGGGGGUUCUCCCUUCUGUUUGACCUAUUCUAGGAGGAAGUACGGGCUAAGUUCGUGCCAGCAGCCGCGGUAAGACGAACCGUACAAACGUUACUCGGAAUUACUGGGCUUAAAGGGUGCGUAGGCUGCGCGGAAAGUUGGGUGUGAAAGCCCUCGGCUCAACCGAGGAAUUGCACUCAAAACUACCGUGCUUGAGGGAGACAGAGGUAAGCGGAACUCAAGGUGGAGCGGUGAAACGCGUUGAUAUCUUGAGGAACACCGGUGGCGAAGGCGGCUUACUGGGUCUUUUCUGACGCUGAGGCACGAAAGCUAAGGUAGCAAACGGGAUUAGAUACCCCGGUAGUCUUAGCUGUAAACGAUGAGCACUUGAUUGGAGGGUCCUCCAUAGCCUUCCAGUCGUAGCGAAAGUGUUAAGUGCUCCGCCUGGGGA
rnacentral:rRNA from 1 species